CGAGUCACAGGUUCUGUUUCCAUCAAUAUUAACAGAGAUGGCUUUGGACUGAAUCAAGGUGCAGAAAAGACUGACUCAUUUUAUCAUUCUUCUGGUGGGCUGGAGUUAUAUGGAGAACCAAGACAUACUACGUAUCGCUCAAGAUCAGAUCUGGACUAUAUUAGGUCCCCUUUACCAUUUCAGAAUAGGUACCCAGGCACUCCAGCUGAUUUCAAUCCUGGUUCUUUAGCAUGUUCUCAGCUUCAGAAUUACGAUCCUGACAGAGCCCUAACAGAUUAUAUCACUCGGCUAGAGGCACUGCAAAGACGACUUGGAACUAUACAGUCAGGUUCAACUACUCAAUUUCAUGCUGGCAUGAGAAGAUAAUCCUUUGAAACAUCAUUAAUUGAAGUGAUUUUAAAUAGAUUUCCUUUUGUAAAUCAAUGGUUCUUUUGUGCUUUUGUAUUGUGAAUAUUCAAUGGGACCAAUAUGAACACAGCUUAUGAUUGUAUACAAAUCCCUUGCCAGCACAUGAAAACAAACUGGAAUUUGUAUAUAUAAGCAUUGUGUAUGUAUUCAUGCACAAUAAUUAUUGAAUUACCUGUAUAUUUGUGGAAUGCUAAUUUAAAACAUUAAAUUAUAAACCUUGUGUAUUUAUCAAAUGGGUGAAAAGAUUAAACUUUUACGCAUUACAAUACUGCUGAAUGUGUAGCUCGAGGUGUCCUGCACUUUUCUUAUAAGGCUACUGAAGUUACAUGUUUUGCCUAAUAUAUUCUACUGGUGAUGAAGACAGAUAAUAUCACUUGUAGAGACCUAUUUUUGUAUAAUGGUAGAAGUUUUGAAUUUUAUGGGGUAUUUUGUCAAGUACUGAAAUAAAAAUGACUUCACCAUUU
rnacentral:lncRNA from 1 species